GACAGCCAGGAUGUUGGCUUAGAAGCAGCCAUCAUUUAAAGAAAGCGUAAUAGCUCACUGGUCGAGUCGGCCUGCGCGGAAGAUGUAACGGGGCUAAACCAUGCACCGAAGCUGCGGCAGCGACGCUUAUGCGUUGUUGGGUAGGGGAGCGUUCUGUAAGCCUGCGAAGGUGUGCUGUGAGGCAUGCUGGAGGUAUCAGAAGUGCGAAUGCUGACAUAAGUAACGAUAAAGCGGGUGAAAAGCCCGCUCGCCGGAAGACCAAGGGUUCCUGUCCAACGUUAAUCGGGGCAGGGUGAGUCGACCCCUAAGGCGAGGCCGAAAGGCGUAGUCGAUGGGAAACAGGUUAAUAUUCCUGUACUUGGUGUUACUGCGAAGGGGGGACGGAGAAGGCUAUGUUGGCCGGGCGACGGUUGUCCCGGUUUAAGCGUGUAGGCUGGUUUUCCAGGCAAAUCCGGAAAAUCAAGGCUGAGGCGUGAUGACGAGGCACUACGGUGCUGAAGCAACAAAUGCCCUGCUUCCAGGAAAAGCCUCUAAGCAUCAGGUAACAUCAAAUCGUACCCCAAACCGACACAGGUGGUCAGGUAGAGAAUACCAAGGCGCUUGAGAGAACUCGGGUGAAGGAACUAGGCAAAAUGGUGCCGUAACUUCGGGAGAAGGCACGCUGAUAUGUAGGUGAAGCGACUUGCUCGUGGAGCUGAAAUCAGUCGAAGAUACCAGCUGGCUGCAACUGUUUAUUAAAAACACAGCACUGUGCAAACACGAAAGUGGACGUAUACGGUGUGACGCCUGCCCGGUGCCGGAAGGUUAAUUGAUGGGGUCAGCGCAAGCGAAGCUCUUGAUCGAAGCCCCGGUAAACGGCGGCCGUAACUAUAACGGUCCUAAGGUAGCGAAAUUCCUUGUCGGGUAAGUUCCGACCUGCACGAAUGGCGUAAUGAUGGCCAGGCUGUCUCCACCCGAGACUCAGUGAAAUUGAACUCGCUGUGAAGAUGCAGUGUACCCGCGGCAAGACGGAAAGACCCCGUGAACCUUUACUAUAGCUUGACACUGAACAUUGAGCCUUGAUGUGUAGGAUAGGUGGGAGGCUUUGAAGUGUGGACGCCAGUCUGCAUGGAGCCGACCUUGAAAUACCACCCUUUAAUGUUUGAUGUUCUAACGUUGACCCGUAAUCCGGGUUGCGGACAGUGUCUGGUGGGUAGUUUGACUGGGGCGGUCUCCUCCUAAAGAGUAACGGAGGAGCACGAAGGUUGGCUAAUCCUGGUCGGACAUCAGGAGGUUAGUGCAAUGGCAUAAGC
rnacentral:rRNA from 1 species